GCCCAAAUGGUGAAAUCAGGUAGACACACUGGACUUAAAAUCCAGAGGAAAAUAAUUCCGUGCCAGUUCGAGUCUGGCUUUGGGUACCA
rnacentral:tRNA from 1 species